UACGGAGGGUGCAAGCGUUAAUCGGAAUUACUGGGCGUAAAGCGUGCGCAGGCGGUUUGUUAAGUCCGUUGUGAAAGCCCCGAGCUCAACUUGGGAAUUGCAGUGGAUACUGGCAGGCUGGAGUACGGUAGAGGAAGGUGGAAUUCCCGGUGUAGCAGUGAAAUGCGUAGAGAUGUGGAGGAACACCAGUGGCGAAGGCGACUCUUUGGUCUGUAACUGACGCUGAGGCGCGAAAGCGUGGGGAGCAAACAGG
rnacentral:rRNA from 1 species